rnacentral:ncRNA from 2 species
UUUUAUCCUACAAGCGUUGGUGGCUGCAAAAUUGGCGGCCUUAAUAGGGAAUCUGGUGUGAAUCCAGAGCUGUCCCCGCAACUGUAAAUGUGAACGAACGAGAAUAGAUCCACUGUAUUGCUUGCUUAACGGCUGUGAUAUGGGAAGGUGCUCAAGUAGAUGAACACAUAAGUCAGGAAACCUGCCAAGCCUUGUAAAAGUUU